AAGUACAGCCAAAUCACCCUUCAGCACAAGACUGGUUACUCACUGAAGCUAAGCAGGGCUGAGCCUGGUCAGUACCUAGAUGGGAGACCACAUGGGAAAACUAGGUUGCUGUUGGAA
rnacentral:rRNA from 1 species